rnacentral:piRNA from 1 species
UCGGCUACAAAGUGAGUUUGAGGAUAGCCU